rnacentral:lncRNA from 1 species
AGAUUUAUUUUAUGUGUGAGUGUCCUGUCUGCCUGCUUACAUGAACACCUACAUGGAGCCUACAAAAGUCAGAAGAGGACAUCAGGUCUCCUGGAACUAGAACUGGGGAUGGCUGUGAACUACCAUGUGGGUGCCAGGAAUUGAACUUGGGUCCUCUGGAAGAUGACAAGUGCUCCCAAUCACUGAGCCUACUCUCCUGCCACCUACUCUUGUUAACUGUAGGGGCUUCCAAAUUUGGGGAGAUAGAAACCAGGGCCUCCUGCAUGCUGUGCAAGGGAUUUACAGCUGAGCCACAUCCCCAGGGUCUUCCUGGGGUGGGGGGAUGGAUUCUUGGCAAACACUCUACAGCCAGCGCUUCCUGGAGGAUUCGAGGCAAGUGCGCUACCAUGGGGGCUAGUCUCCAGGAUAACGAGCCUAGGAGGGGGGUAUCCUACCUUCGCUUUAAAUAUAAAGUUGUGAAGAGCUAGGGAAAUGAAGGGUCUGCCCAAUCAAGCUGGGACUGUGGUGCAGCGGGAAGCCAGAGGCCAGGGUGCUGACCUUACACUUAGAGAUUUUGACACGUGGAUGGAGCUCCUGUCUCUUUCCCCUGUGCAUCAAAGAUGUGGAAACUGGCUCAGAUGCCAGGUCCAUAGGAAGUGUGUGGCCAGGCUGUGGCAAGCCCUGCCUCACCCCUAUGCAUGCGUCAGACCCAAGAACAAGCUUGAUUUCAGCACCACGGAGAGCUGCCAGCCUUUGGUCUGGCCGAGCACAUCUUGGUGAAGUUGUUGCAGUUACUUUAUUAACGCCUUUAUGGCUGUUUUAAGUGUGUGUGUGUGCUGUAUAUGCCUGUGGGGUAUGUGUACGUGUGUAGGGGGGUGUUGGUGCCCGAGUGCAUGGGUGCAGAGGUAGGAGGAGACAAUGGCAUCCUGCUCUAUCACUGUGUUAUUUUCUUGAGUCAGAGUCUCUUACUGAACCUGGAGUUAAGCUGGCAGCCAGCAAGCCCCCCUCCUGAGAACCUCUCUGCCACCCACAGUGCUGAACUCCUACUUCUUGACUCCCAAGUGCUGGUUUUACAAGCAUGUGCCAGCACACCCAGUCUUUAAUGCCAUUGUAUGUACUUAGAAGGCUUUUGGUUCAAUGAUGAAAUGGGAGCUUUGUGCAAAAACUGGGAGAGCUACACUGUAUUAGGGAUCACAAGGAUAGCCAGCAACGAUCCCGUUUUUCAGGCUGGGAAUGAAUGUCACGUGGAUUAAACAUAUGUUUGCCUA